AUUUCGAAAACGAUAACCAACCGUAGUAUAUUUGCAUGGUUAAGACUGAUGGUGUACUAUUUACUCAAUAUCUGGUUUCGUCAACAGGUUUGACCUCUAAUACAUAAUGCGUCAUGCAAAAUAUUACAUCGUUGCGAAAUCAACAUUUGGGGAGUUUUUUUGACACGGAUCAUUGCGGACAAAAAUGCGAACUAAUUACAACAGGAUCGAUUCAAACAACUGAAGAACUUUUAGCUGAACGGUUGAAAGACUGACUGAAAUUCACGGACAUAACAAUGAAGUGGUCAAUAUCAGUGAUUUGUAUUCUCAGUCUCUAUGCUGGUUAUGCUGCGGCCAUAAGAUGCUAUGAAUGUGAUAGCAUCACGAACAGCGCGUGUGAAGACACGUUUAAAGCAGAUGGCUUUCAGCCUAAAGAUGAUUGUACCACCUGUAUGAAGGUUAAAGGGAGGAAGGAUGGCAUACAAUUUGUAGAAAGAUCAUGCGAUACUUCGAUACUACCCGAUAAAUGCCAGUCAGAAACCCUCUUUGGUGUCGAUGUGGACGUUUGUUGGUGCAGGAAAGACCUUUGUAACAGCGCCUUUAGCGUGUCUGCAAGUUUCUCCAUCAUGUUUGUUCUUAUUAUCAUAUCUAUAGUAUAUUUGUAAGGAUAUUAUCAGCAGCAAGGGAGGUGGUUGUACGAAAUAUGUUUCGCAAACGGCUUUGCUUGAUACGUUUUGCUUGAAAAGAAAAGUGUAGCAACCAUUCAUUCAUGCUUGUAAUAUGUCGCAUUUCUAAAUGUAUGGACGCGUAUUGACAAUUUUUGUUUGCUUGUAAUAAUUAUAUCAAUUAUUCUAUGGUGAGAAUCAGCUAACGACCUUGCUCCAAGUAUAGUAAUCAUGCACUUUACAUCCACAAUCUUAAUUGUAUGUGUGAAAAUAUAUUUGUUCGAAGACAAAUUGUUUGAAAGGUAAUGUAUCCAAAGUAUGUUUGUUAAAUAUUUGACAAGAUACUGAACUCAUGUUGAUAAAUAUCUUGAUGUAUUUUAUAUGUAUGCGUGUAUAAAUUCAGUGCCUCUUUGGUGAAUAAUUAUCAUUUUAUGAAUAAAAUCCUCGUUGAAGCAUCAGAAUCAACAUUAAUAAUCAUAUAACUUGAACACACUUUAAUUAUAACAAAAUACGCAUCCUUUAUUUUCGAAAUACCUACUCUAUUUAAGGUUUAACGUAUUAAUAUAUUACGUAAAAUGUUUUUACUAUAAAUGUAUAACUUAAAACAAUCCAUGAAUCACUUAAAGACAACAGAUGCAUAAUUGGUAAUAACACCAUGGGGCUAAUAAAUAUACUAGGAUAACGAAGGAUAUUUGUGCUUUUAACUCCAAUAGGUUUGUAUAUAUACACGGUUCAUGAAGGUUAUGUAUUCUAUCAUCUCCCUUGGGAUUAUGACUAUACAAGGGUCAUGAAUGUUAUGUGUGCUAUCAACGCGCAUGGGUUUAUAACUAUACUAGGUUCAUCAAGGUUGUAUGUUGUAUCAACUCACAUGAGUUUAUAGCUAUCAAGGUUCAUGAAGGUUAUGUAUUCUAUAUACUCCCUUGUAUUUAUAACUGUAUUAUACUUGGUUCAUCAAGGUUGUAUGUGCUGUCUACUCCCAUAUGUUUAUAACUAUACUAGGUUAAUCAAGGUUUUGUGUUGUAUCAACUCACAUGGCUAUAUAACUAUAUAAGUUCAUAAAGGUGUUAUGUGCUGUCAACUCCCAUGGGUUUAUAACUGUACUCGGUUCGUGAACGUUAUGUGUGCUAUCAACUAGCUUUGCGCAAUGCACACUUGGAGACUUUUCUAACGCAACACUCAUCAAACUUGAAAAUCUCACUUAUAAGUUAAGAUUAUGAUUCAACAUUUCACAUGAUAUCAUUUGACUACAUUGUGAACAAGUUGACGAUAUAAUCAUCCAUCCGUGACGAUCGAACGCUUUAGCAUGUGGGGUAUGUAUGGUUUCAUAUUUUGCAUGUGGGAAUUGUGAAACACUACA